rnacentral:sRNA from 1 species
AGGAGAGCCCGGAGCCGGAUCCACUCUCAGCCUCAGGAAGCAGCAGCCUCCGCUCCGCGGCGGGUGUGCUCGGCAGUCACAGACCCACUCAGGACACCUCCCGUUGCCGACGGGCUAGACCUGCCUUAAAGGGGUCCCCGUGUCUCUCCAGUCUAGAGCCUAAGUUCAAACGAGGCGUAUAGGCGAGGACAGCAGGAAGGCUCCAAGUCAAACAAACGGAUGGGAAGUGGUCUUGGGAAACCUGAAGACACUGGGAUAUUCAGAAGGCCAAGGGGAUCCAGCUUAUCCUGUUGGGCAAGGUGCUGGGAGUGAAGGCAGGUCACCUGAAUGAUACUGGUGCCAUUUCUGAAGUUGGUGAAACUCCGCAUUACAUCCUGACUCAGAGAUUCCACUGAUGAUUUCCAGGAACUACCAAAGCCACGGAUCAGCUGAGUUACCCGGGCUAAUAGCAGGAGGAAACAGUGUCAGAGAGGGAUCUGGCUGAUCUUCAACUCCACUAAGUUCUCCCCAAGGGUCUUGCUCCAUCACCCACGCUGGAGUGCAGUGGCACAAUCACAGCUCACUACAACCUCAACUUUCCUGGCUCAGUGAUUAUCCCACCUCAGCCUCCUGAGUAGCUGGGACUAACAGGCAUGUGCCAACAUGUCCCACUCAUUUUUUUUUUAUUUUUUGUAGAGAUGGGUUUCACCAUGUUGUCCAGGCUGGUCUCAAACUCCUGGGCUCAAGCGAUCCUCCCUGCCUUGGCCUGUGCUGGGAUU